CAAGAGCGUAUGUAAAAGUUGUUGCAGUUAAAAAGCUCGUAGUUGAACCCUGGGUUUGGUUGGCCGGUCCGCUUUUUUGCGAGUACUGGAUUCAACCGAGCCUUUCCUUCUGGCUAACCAGUCGUUUCGGCGGCUGGCGAACCAGGAUUUUUACUUUGAGAAAAUUAGAGUGUUCAAAGCAGGCAUUAGCUUGAAUAUAUUAGCAUGGAAUAAUAGAAUAGGACGUUAUGGUUCUAUUUUGUUGGUUUCUAGGACCAUCGUAAUGAUUAAUAGGGACGGUCGGGGGCAUCAGUAUUCAGUUGUCAGAGGUGAAAUUCUUGGAUUUACUGAAGACUAACUACUGCGAAAGCAUUUGCCAAGGACGUUUUCAUUAA
rnacentral:rRNA from 1 species